GGAGUGUUCUUUACAGGUAUGACAAUAAAUUGUGACGUUAUCGACAUGACCGAUUGUUGAGAUAUUUUCCAUCUUGAUUGUAUGUCGUCACUAAUAACUUGAGCAUGUAAUUGACUCCACAUGAUAUUGGAUAUAUAACAUAAAGAUGAGCAAUUUAAGUGGACAUACUUCAGUAUCCUAUGAAAGUGAUUUUAUACAGUUGACAGAACUUGCGGGAAUAAAAAUGCAACCAGAAAUAAUCAGGAUACUCCUAGAAUUGCUCAGCAUGAACAUUCAUCCCACUUCGAUUUACACUAUUCUACGUCAUCUUUGUGCCCGACAUGGACAGAAGGCACGUGCAGCUGCAGCCUGCCAGAAGCUCGCAAGCAAAAGUAAAAAGUAGAAAGUAAUGUUAUCUGUUGUGUUUCUAGUUCAGCCCAAUUGUCAUUUAAUAAAAGCCAACCUGAAUAUGAUGUAAAUCAAUCAGUGAUUUAUUUACUUCUUGUGUGACGGUUGUAAAGUGAUGUAUAAAUCAAAUAUAUGUAUAGGUCUCAUCACUCUGAAUUUGUUAAUAGGCACCUCAACGACAGGUAGGAGUUGUAGGAAGCAAACUGGCAACAAAGCACUGUACUGUAUUUAUAUUUAAGGCUUUUUGUGUAUCAUAUCUAUAUCUUUGUUAAUAAAUAAUUGUAAAAAACACACAUUUGGAUUUCAACACCAAUUAUGUCUUUCACUCUAUGCGUUUCAGGUAAAUGAUUUUAUUUCCUUUUUAAACAAAAGAAGAAGGAAAAAGAAGCAACUUUCACCUCAAAUGUCAUUCUUGUUACACACUUGGUUAUAAUUAGUUUUUUUAAUUUGUUUAGUGUACUUUCCAGUCACAUUAAUGUGACCAUCUGUAAAAACCUGAAUAACCACCUUUGACUGUGGACUGCUGUGAAACAUGCAGGAAGAGAGUCAGUGAGGUUCUAAAAGUUGCCGAGGGGUGUGUAGAGCCGUGCCAUUUCCAGUGCUGUGACCAGCUGUGCUAGGUUUCUUGGUUGAGAAUCAGUGGUGUGAACAGCCUGAUCAAGGUAGUCCCACAAAUUCAUGAUUUUGUUCAAAUCUGGGGAGUUUGGUGGCCAGGGGAGUACAGCAGACCCAUCUUGGUGCUCUUCAAACCACACACAUACGGCUGGGAGCUGUGUGACACAUUGUGUUGUCCUACUGGUAGAUGCCAUUGUUCCAAGGAAAAAAACUGCAAGUAAGGAUGGACAUGGUCAAGGAUAUAUGCAUAAAUAUGGUGAUCCAUUGUGCAUUCCAGAAUGAUGUGAUCAGCCAGUGUUUGCUUUCAGAUGUUUCACACCAUACAUGCCAGUGUUCAUCUGUCUGCCGGAGCAUAAAAUAUGGUUCAUCUGAAUGUGAUGCAGCUGGGAAGGCCACCUGUUGCCACUCAGUGGACAUCCAGUCGUGGUACUGGUGUGCAAAUUCCAGCCUUUGUCACUGUUAAACCUUCCUCGCAUUCAUUUUUCUCAGAAAAUAGAGGAGCUGUGUUUAUGAUUAUGGAUUACGAUUAGAAUAGCGUGGAUGCAUAAGCCAGGCAAGUUCUGCGGACAUCCAUAUGCAACAUUAUUCCCUGAGCAGUCGUUGAGGAGACACUGUUCAUAUGGGCAGUCAGUUGCUCAACAGUUGCACAUCUAUUCUCCUGUACACACAUUUGCAAGUACCAUCCACCCCUGUUAUUUAUGACCUAUAAUGCACAGCUGUUGCCUCGGUGCCGGUUUUGGAUAGCAGCAUUUUGCCAUGUGCUGUAUACUUUAACCACAGCAGCAAGCAAAUAAAUUACAAACUUAGCCGUUUCGGAAAUGCCUCUACCCUUGGCCCAAAAGCCGGUGGUCGUGCUCUUGCAGAAGUCAGAUAAAUCGCUCCAUCUCCACGUUAUGAUAAUGAAAUCAUUGUUUUCGGUGUCUCCCCCCGAAAAGCUUUGUGUACCCUCCACUGCUAGUGCUUGCACUUGUCAUUUGUGAGUGGUUAUUUGCACAUCGAUGUCGAACGUAAGUGAUGGUCACAUUAAUGUGACGGACCAUGUAUAUCAACCAUGUCUCUGUUACGACAUUUGGCACUGUGUGCACAGCUGGAGCAAAAGACAGAGAAAGGAUCUUUAGUGCAGCAAGGAACAUUAAUUAGCAUUUUUGCAUUGUAAUAUUUAUGUAUUAUUAUUGAAUGUUUGGUAGUUAUCAAUUGAGUUUCAAUAAAGACUUAUGGAUUACUGGCA